GCCCUUACGGUUACCUUGUUACGACUUAGCCCCAGUCACCGGUUUUACCUUAGGGCGCUGCUUGCGCUCACGCACUUCAGGCACUCCCGGCUUCCAUGGCUUGACGGGCGGUGUGUACAAGGCCCGGGAACGUAUUCACCGCGCCAUGGCUGAUGCGCGAUUACUAGCGAAUCCAGCUUCAUGGAGUCGAGUUGCAGACUCCAAUCCGAACUGAGACAGGUUUUCGGGUUCUGCUCUGUGUCGCCACAUGGCCUCCCGCUGUACCUGCCAUUGUAACACGUGUGUCGCCCCGGACGUAAGGGCCGUGCUGAUUUGACGUCAUCCCCGCCUUCCUCACAGCUUGCGCCGGCAGUCUCGACAGAGUCCUCAACGCUACUUGUUAGCAACUGUCGAUAGGGGUUGCGCUCGUUAUGGCACUUAAGCCGACACCUCACGGCACGAGCUGACGACAACCAUGCAGCACCUCGUAGACGGCCCCGAAGGGCUACAGUCUUUCAACCGUAUUCCAUCUACGUUUGAGCCCGGGUAAGGUUCCUCGCGUAUCAUCGAAUUAAACCACAUGUUCCUCCGCUUGUGCGGGCCCCCGUCAAUUCCUUUGAGUUUCACCGUUGCCGGCGUACUCCCCAGGUGGAAUGCUUAACGCUUUCGCUGUGCC
rnacentral:rRNA from 1 species